AACGAGCGCUGGCGGCAUGCCUAACACAUGCAAGUCGAACGAGACCUUCGGGUCUAGUGGCGCACGGGUGCGUAACGCGUGGGAACCUGCCCUUAGGUUCGGAAUAACUCCCCGAAAGGGGUGCUAAUACCGGAUAAUGUCUUCGGACCAAAGAUUUAUCGCCUUUGGAUGGGCCCGCGUUGGAUUAGCUAGUUGGUAGGGUAAAAGCCUACCAAGGCGACGAUCCAUAGCUGGUCUGAGAGGAUGAUCAGCCACACUGGGACUGAGACACGGCCCAGACUCCUACGGGAAGCAGCAGUGGGGAAUAUUGGACAAUGGGCGAAAGCCUGAUCCAGCAAUGCCGCGUGAGUGAUGAAGGCCUUAGGGUUGUAAAGCUCUUUUACCCGGGAUGAUAAUGACAGUACCGGGAGAAUAAGCGCCGGCUAACUCCGUG
rnacentral:rRNA from 1 species